rnacentral:rRNA from 1 species
UUGUGAAAAUUAAAUAGAGAGUCGGACCUGCCCAGUGAAAUUUUUUAACGGCCGCGGUACUCUGACCGUGCAAAGGUAGCAUAAUAAUUUGCCUUAUAAUUGAAGGCUAGUAUGAAUGGUUUGACGAGAGUAUAGCUGUCUCUUUAUGAUUAAAUAGAAUUUGAUUUAUAGGUGAAGAAGCCUAUAUAAUAUUAAAAGACAAGAAGACCCUAUCGAGCUUAAAAAAAAUUAAUAGACAUAAUAUUAAUAUUAAGUUAAAAAAUAAUCUAUUAAUAAUUUUAGUUGGGGCGACUUAGGAACAAACAAAGCUUCCUUUAUAUUAGAAAUUUAUUAAUAAUGAUCCAAAAUUUUUGAUUAAAAGAAUUAGUUACCGUAGGGAUAACAGCAUUAUCUUUUUUAAGAGUUCAUAUCGAAAAAAAGGUUUGUGACCUCGAUGUUGGACCAGAAUAUCCCAA